rnacentral:rRNA from 1 species
UGGGGAAUAUUGCACAAUGGGCGCAAGCCUGAUGCAGCCAUGCCGCGUGUGUGAAGAAGGCCUUCGGGUUGUAAAGCACUUUCAGCGGGGCGGAAGGCGAUAAGGUUAAUAACCUUGUCGAUUGACGUUACCCGCAGAAGAAGCACCGGCUAACUCCGUGCCAGCAGCCGCGGUAAUACGGAGGGUGCAAGCGUUAAUCGGAAUUACUGGGCGUAAAGCGCACGCAGGCGGUCUGUCAAGUCGGAUGUGAAAUCCCCGGGCUCAACCUGGGAACUGCAUUCGAAACUGGCAGGCUAGAGUCUUGUAGAGGGGGGUAGAAUUCCAGGUGUAGCGGUGAAAUGCGUAGAGAUCUGGAGGAAUACCGGUGGCGAAGGCGGCCCCCUGGACAAAGACUGACGCUCAGGUGCGAAAGCGUGGGGAGCAAACAGG